rnacentral:rRNA from 1 species
UACGUAGGGUGCGAGCGUUAAUCGGAAUUACUGGGCGUAAAGCGUGCGUAGGCGGCUUUUUAAGUCAGAGGUGAAAGCCCACGACUCAAUCGUGGAACUGCCUUUGAGACUGGAUCGCUUGAAGAUGGGAGAGGUUAGUGGAAUUCCGAGUGUAGAGGUGAAAUUCGUAGAUAUUCGGAAGAACACCAGUGGCGAAGGCGGCUAACUGGACCAUUCUUGACGCUGAGGGACGAAAGCGUGGGGAGCAAACAGG